AUACAUACAAGUAGAACGCUGAAGAGAGGAGCUUGCUCUUCUUGGAAGAGUUGCGAACGGGUGAGUAACGCGUAGGUAACCUGCCUUGUAGCGGGGGAUAACUAUUGGAAACGAUAGCUAAUACCGCAUAACAAUGGGUGACACAUGUCAUUUAUUUGAAAGGGGCAAUUGCUCCACUACAAGAUGGACCUGCGUUGUAUUAGCUAGUAGGUGAGGUAACGGCUCACCUAGGCGACGAUACAUAGCCGACCUGAGAGGGUGAUCGGCCACACUGGGACUGAGACACGGCCCAGACUCCUACGGGAGGCAGCAGUAGGGAAUCUUCGGCAAUGGGGGCAACCCUGACCGAGCAACGCCGCGUGAGUGAAGAAGGUUUUCGGAUCGUAAAGCUCUGUUGUAAGUCAAGAACGAGUGUGAGAGUGGAAAGUUCACACUGUGACGGUAGCUUACCAGAAAGGGACGGCUAACUACGUGCCAGCAGCCGCGGUAAUACGUAGGUCCCGAGCGUUGUCCGGAUUUAUUGGGCGUAAAGCGAGCGCAGGCGGUUUGAUAAGUCUGAAGUUAAAGGCUGUGGCUCAACCAUAGUUCGCUUUGGAAACUGUCAAACUUGAGUGCAGAAGGGGAGAGUGGAAUUCCAUGUGUAGCGGUGAAAUGCGUAGAUAUAUGGAGGAACACCGGUGGCGAAAGCGGCUCUCUGGUCUGUAACUGACGCUGAGGCUCGAAAGCGUGGGGAGCGAACAGGAUUAGAUACCCUGGUAGUCCACGCCGUAAACGAUGAGUGCUAGGUGUUGGAUCCUUUCCGGGAUUCAGUGCCGCAGCUAACGCAUUAAGCACUCCGCCUGGGAGUACGA
rnacentral:rRNA from 1 species